GACGAACGCUGGCGGCGUGCCUAAUACAUGCAAGUCGAGCGCAGGAAACUGACGGAACUCUUCGGAGGGAAGGCAGCGGAAUGAGCGGCGGACGGGUGAGUAACACGUAAGGAACCUGCCUCAAGGAUUGGGAUAACUCCGAGAAAUCGGAGCUAAUACCGGAUAGUUCAUCGGACCGCAUGGUCCGCUGAUGAAAGGCGCUCCGGCGUCACCUUGAGAUGGCCUUGCGGUGCAUUAGCUAGUUGGUGGGGUAACGGCCCACCAAGGCGGCGAAGCAUAGCCGACCUGAGACGGUGAGCGGCCACACUGGGACUGAGACACGGCCCAGACUCCUACGGGAGGCAGCAGUAGGGAAUCUUCCACAAUGGACGAAAGUCUGAUGGAGCAACGCCGCGUGAGUGAUGAAGGUUUUCGGAUCGUAAAACUCUGUUGUAAGGGAAGAACACGUACGAGAGGGAAUGCUCGUACCUUGACGGUACCUUACGAGAAAGCCACGGCUAACUACGUGCCAGCAGCCGCGGUAA
rnacentral:rRNA from 1 species